AUUAAUUUUUAUCAGAGUUAUAUGUGUAUGAUGUACUAUGUACAUUUAUAUUGUAUAUGUUUAAAUGAUACCUAACCUUAUAGAAGCUGUCACAUGGAACAAUAUAAGUUUUACUUAUAUCAAAAGAAAAAGUUAAUUUAAGGAUAUAUACGUUUUGUAAAAUUACUUUGAUAAUUUUGAUAAAGUUUAGUAAGAUGAAUAUUACUCAAAUACUUUUGCAAACCGCUACAGAUGCAAAGGUAGGAUUUAUAAUUUCAGCAAUAAUAGGUUAUUCUUUGUACAAAAUAAUAGCAGUAAUAAAUAGAAAAAAAUUGCAAUCUUCUAAUGAUAAUUGCAAUGAAACUUUAAAUUAUAUGCAAAUAUAUUCAGAUAAUUACAAGCUUGUUUUAGUUAUUAGAACUGAUUUAAAAAUGGGAAAAGGAAAAAUUGCAGCACAAUGUGCUCAUGCUGCCGUUGCAGCAUAUAAGGCAGCCACAAAGUAUCCUGAAUUUUUAUAUGCUUGGGAAAAGUGUGGACAAACUAAAAUUACUGUUAAGGUGGAUAGCGAGAAUGCUUUGAAAGAAAUAGCAAAACAAGCUAGAGCUGUAGGACUUUUGGCAAAUAUAAUACAGGAUGCUGGACAGACACAAGUAAAGCCAGGAAGUAAAACAGUAUGUGCUAUUGGUCCAGGUCCAGCUCAAUUGAUAGAUAAUGUAACUGGUCAUUUAAAAUUGUUUUAAUAAUGAACAAAAUAAAGAUGGAUCUUCACAAGGAUCUGCAGUUAAUGCUAAACUGGCAGAAUUCCAGAAAACUGGUACUGUUAAAUGUACACAUUCUGCAUCAGAUUCUGUUUCAGUAGAAGCAACACUUUCUGACCAUCUAUAUUCUUCCCUGAUUUCUUCAGGAAGUACAGGAUUUCCUGCAACUAAUGCAGCUACUGUUGCACCUCCUUCUGGCAUAGGAGUC